AGCAGCCGCGGUAACACCAGCUCCACAAGCGUAUAUUAAUGUUGUUGCAGUUAAAAAGCUCGUAGUUGGAUAUCUGUCAUGACGGACCUGGCCCAAACAUCUCUGAUGAGUUGCUGUGUGCCGGUUCUGGUGUCCGGUUGUCGCGCUCGUUGUCGGGUUGGCUCGGUUCGCUGGGUCGAUCGGGCGAGUUGUGCUCCGUGUACACUUGUUCGUCGGACAUCCUUCAGGAGAACCGCUCUGCCAUUCACUUGGUUGGGGCGAGGAUCCUGAUCAUUUACUUUGAAAAAAUUAGAGUGUUUCACGCAGGCUUUAUCGCCGCGAAUAUAUUAGCAUGGAAUAAUAAGAUAGGACUUCGGCACCACUGGUGAUUGCUCGGUAGUUUGCUCGAUUGUGCUAUGGGUCGGUUGGGUUUCGUGCUCGGUCGGCUUUCAGUCGUGCGUGACCGUCGGGAUCAAACAGUUGCUUGUUUCUAUUUUGUUGGUUUCUAGAGCUGAAGUAAUGAUUGAUAGGGAUAGUUGGGGGUGCUAAUAUAGCUUUGGCCAGAGGUGAAAUUUCUCGGAUUCUGGUUAGAUUAACUUAUGCGAAAGCAUUCACCAAGGAUGUCUUCUUUAAUCAAGAACGAAAGUUGGGGGGAUCGAAGACGAUCAGAUACCGUCGUAGUCUCACAUAAACUAUGCGACUAGGGAUUGGGGCGUCGUUUGAAUUUUUAGGACUCGCUCCGCACCUUAUUUGAGAAAUCAUAAGUCUUUGGUUCUGGGGGAGUAUGGUCGCAAGGCUGAAACUUAAAGGAAUUGACGGAAGGGGCACCACCAAGGCGUGGAGCCUGCGGCUUAAUUUGACUCAAC
rnacentral:rRNA from 1 species